rnacentral:rRNA from 1 species
UUUGAUCUGGCUCAGAACGAACGCUGGCGGCAGGCCUAACACAUGCAAGUCGAGCGAGAUCUUCGGAUCUAGCGGCGGACGGGUUAGUAACGCGUGGGAACGUACCCAAAGGUAGGGAAUAGCCACUGGAAACGGUGAGUAAUACCCUAUGUGCUUCGGGGGAAAGAUUUAUCGCCUUUGGAUCGGCCCGCGUUAGAUUAGAUAGUUGGUGGGGUAACGGCCUACCAAGUCUACGAUCUAUAGCUGGUUUUAGAGGAUGAUCAGCAACACUGGGACUGAGACACGGCCCAGACUCUACGGGAGGCAGCAGUGGGGAAUCUUGGACAAUGGGGGCAACCCUGAUCCAGCCAUGCCGCGUGAGUGAUGAAGGCCCUAGGGUCGUAAAGCUCUUUCGCCUGUGAAGAUAAUGACUGUAGCAGGUAAAGAAACCCCGGCUAACUCCGUGCCAGCAGCCGCGGUAAUACGGAGGGGGUUAGCGUUGUUCGGAAUUACUGGGCGUAAAGCGCGCGUAGGCGGACUGGAAAGUUGGGGGUGAAAUCCCAGGGCUCAACCCUGGAACUGCCUCCAAAACUAUCAGUCUAGAGUUCGAGAGAGGUGAGUGGAAUUCCCGAGUGUAGAGGUGAAAUUCGUAGAUAUUCGGAGGAMCACCAGUGGCGAAGGCGGCUCACUUGGCUCGAUACUGACGCUGAGG